rnacentral:tRNA from 1 species
GCCGCGAUCGCAUAACCCGGUAUUGCGACGGUCUCGAAAACCGUUUCCGAAAGGAACUCCCGGUUCAAAUCCGGGUCGCGGCG